GGGUUGGUAAGGAUGUGGUUUUACUUCCAUUUCCAUCUCAGUGUAGGCAGUUCAGAUCCCUGCGUGGGCUCUUUUUAAGACUGACUGU